rnacentral:rRNA from 1 species
UACGUGGAGUCCAAGCGUUAUCCGGAUUUACUGGGCGUAAAGGGUCCGUAGGUGGUCUGUUAAGUUUCUGGUGAAAUCCCUCGGCCCAACUGAGGAACUGUCAGAAAAACUAGCAGACUGGAGUAUGGCAGAGGCAGAUGGAAUUCCUGGUGGAGGGGUAAAAUCCGUUGAUAUCAGGAAGAACGACCAGUGGCGAAGGCGAUCUGCUGGGCCAUUACUGACACUGAGGGACGAAAGGCGUGGGGAGCGGAACGG